rnacentral:tRNA from 1 species
GCGAGAGUGGCGGAAUUGGCAGACGCACCAGACUUAGGAUCUGGCGCUUUACGGCGUAGGAGUUCAAAUCUCCUCUCUCGCACCA